GCUCCCGUAGCUCAGAGGAUAGAGCAACGGUUUCCUAAACCGUGGGCCGCAGGUUCGAGUCCUGCCGGGAGCGCCA
rnacentral:tRNA from 1 species